UACGUAGGAGGCGAGCGUUGUCCGGAAUUACUGGGCGUAAAGGGCGCGUAGGCGGCCGAUCAAGUCAGAUGUGAAAGUCCUGGGCUUAACCUGGGGACUGCAUUUGAUACUGAUUGGCUUGAAUUCGGGAGAGGAUAGCGGAAUUCCCAGUGUAGAGGUGAAAUUCGUAGAUAUUGGGAAGAACACCGGUGGCGAAGGCGGCUAUCUGGACCGACAUUGACGCUGAUGCGCGAAAGCGUGGGGAGCAAACAGG
rnacentral:rRNA from 1 species